GGCAGCAGCGGGCGGGGAAACGGGGACCGCCGUCCCCACGGAGCCGGGACGCUGUGAGCGACAAGAUCCUAACUCCAGGGCAAUGCUACAUGCCAUCAAAUCAACAAUUAUUAGGUGGUCAUAUCAGAUUCAUGAUAGUGUGAAUGGGGAUUCUGCUGAACCUUUCUGCACAGCCUUCAUAGAGACCCGCAAACUGAGCUGAACUUCUGGAACCGAAGAAAAGACAAUCUUUUAUAUGUAAAUAAACAACGAUGUUGCAAUGCCAGGUGAUUGAACAUUAUGAAGAGCCCAGUUCAUUCAUCACUGAAAGCUUUUGGGGCCUUUCCAUGGACUUCAGCUGGCAUA